CAAAUGAAUUGACGGGGGCCCGCACAAGCGGUGGAGCAUGUGGUUUAAUUCGAUGCAACGCGAAGAACCUUACCUGGUCUUGACAUCCACGGAAGUUUUCAGAGAUGAGAAUGUGCCUUCGGGAACCGUGAGACAGGUGCUGCAUGGCUGUCGUCAGCUCGUGUUGUGAAAUGUUGGGUUAAGUCCCGCAACGAGCGCAACCCUUAUCCUUUGUUGCCAGCGGUCCGGCCGGGAACUCAAAGGAGACUGCCAGUGAUAAACUGGAGGAAGGUGGGGAUGACGUCAAGUCAUCAUGGCCC
rnacentral:rRNA from 1 species